GACGAACGCUGGCGGCGUGCCUAAUACAUGCAAGUCGAGCGGACAGAAGGGAGCUUGCUCCCGGAAGUUAGCGGCGGACGGGUGAGUAACACGUGGGCAACCUACCCUGUAGAUCGGGAUAACAUCGAGAAAUCGGUGCUAAUACCGGAUAAUCAUUUGAAGUGCAUGCUUCGAAUGUAAAAGAUGGCUCCGGCUAUCACUACGGGAUGGGCCCGCGGCGCAUUAGCUAGUUGGUAAGGUAAUGGCUUACCAAGGCAACGAUGCGUAGCCGACCUGGGACGGUGAUCGGCCCCACUGGGACUGAGACACGGCCCAGACUCCUACGGGAGGCAGCAGUAGGGAAUCAUCCGCAAUGGACGAAAGUCUGACGGAGCAACGCCGCGUGAGUGAUGAAGGUUUUCGGAUCGUAAAGCUCUGUUGUUAGGGAAGAACAAGUGCCGUUUGAAUAAGGCGGCACCUUGACGGUACCUAACCAGAAAGCCACGGCUAACUACGUGCCAGCCGCCGCGGUAAAAC
rnacentral:rRNA from 1 species